rnacentral:rRNA from 1 species
UACGUAGGGCGCAAGCGUUGUCCGGAAUUAUUGGGCGUAAAGAGCUCGUAGGCGGCUUGUCACGGUCUGCUGUGAAAACCCGAGGCUCAACCUCGGGCCUGCAGUGGGUACGGGCAGACUAGAGUGCGGUAGGGGAGAUUGGAAUUCCUGGUGUAGCGGUGGAAUGCGCAGAUAUCAGGAGGAACACCAAUGGGCGAAGGCAGAUCUCUGGGCCGUAACUGACGCUGAGGAGCGAAAGCAUGGGGAGCGAACAGG